rnacentral:rRNA from 1 species
AUUGAACGCUGGCGGCAGGCCUAACACAUGCAAGUCGAACGAGUGGCGGACGGGUGAGUAAUGUCUGGGAAACUGCCCGAUGGAGGGGGAUAACUACUGGAAACGGUCGCUAAUACCGCAUACCAUCGGAUGUGCCCAGAUGGGAUUCGCUAGUAGGUGGGGUAACGGCUAACCUAGGCGACGAUCCCUAGCUGGUCUGAGAGGAUGACCAGCCACACUGGAACUGAGACACGGGCCAGAAUCCUACGGGAGGCAGCAGUGGGGAAUAUUGCACAAGGGGCGCAAGCCUGAUGCAGCAAUGCCGCGUGUAUGAAGAAGGCCGUCGGGUUGUAAAGUAAUUUCAGAGAGGAGGCGUUACUCGCAGAAGAAGCACCGGCUAACUCCGUGCCAGCAGCCGCGGUAAUUC